rnacentral:misc_RNA from 1 species
GAUGAAGAACGCAGCGAAAUGCGAUAAGUAAUGCGAAUUGCAGAAUUCCAGUGAGUCAUCGAAUCUUUGAACGCACAUUGCGCCCUUUGGUAUUCCGAAGGGCAUGCCUGUUCGAGCGUCAUUAUCACCCCUCAAGCUCUCCGGAGUUUGGUGUUGGGGCGCCUGGGGCUUUUCGACCUCAGGGCCCUCAAGUCCAUCGGCGGGACCGCCAGGACACUGAGCGCAGUAGUAUUAUUUCGCUCGGUAGGAUCUUCCACGGCGGGUCGAUCUGGCCGCUAAACCCCCCAAUUCUCACCAAAGGUUGACCUCGGAUCAGGUAGGAAUACCCGCUGAACUUAAGCAUAUCAAUAAGCGGAGGA